ACUCAGUGAAAUUGAACUCGCUGUGAAGAUGCAGUGUACCCGCGGCAAGACGGAAAGACCCCGUGAACCUUUACUAUAGCUUGACACUGAACAUUGAGCCUUGAUGUGUAGGAUAGGUGGGAGGCUUAGAAGUGUGGACGCCAGUCUGCAUGGAGCCGACCUUGAAAUACCACCCUUUAAUGUUUGAUGUUCUAACGUUGACCCGUAAUCCGGGUUGCGGACAGUGUCUGGUGGGUAGUUUGACUGGGGCGGUCUCCUCCUAAAGAGUAACGGAGGAGCACGAAGGUUGGCUAAUCCUGGUCGGACAUCAGGAGGUUAGUGCAAUGGCAUAAGC
rnacentral:rRNA from 1 species